UAAAUUAAAGUUAAAAAGCCAAUAUAAUUAGGAAAAUACGGUUUCAAGUUUCUACCAAACACCUUAAAUGUUUUACUAUUGUGCGGUUUGAAAUUUUG
rfam:Acidaminococcus sp. CAG:917 genomic scaffold, scf59